rnacentral:rRNA from 1 species
UGCAAGUCGAGCGAGACCUUCGGGUCUAGCGGCGGACGGGGUUAGUAACGCGUGGGAACGUGCCCUUCUCUGCGGAAUAGCCACUGGAAACGGUGAGUAAUACCGCAUACGCCCUUCGGGGGAAAGAUUUAUCGGAGAAGGAUCGGCCCGCGUUAGAUUAGAUAGUUGGUGGGGUAACGGCCUACCAAGUCUACGAUCUAUAGCUGGUUUUAGAGGAUGAUCAGCAACACUGGGAGUGAGACACGGCCCAGACUCCUACGGGAGGCAGCAGUGGGGAAUCUUAGACAAUGGGCGCAAGCCUGAUCUAGCCAUGCCGCGUGUGUGAUGAAGGUCUUAGGAUCGUAAAGCACUUUCGCCAGGGAUGAUAAUGACAGUACCUGGUAAAGAAACCCCGGCUAACUCCGUGCCAGCAGCCGCGGUAAUACGGAGGGGGUAAGCGUUGUUCGGAAUUACUGGGCGUAAAGCGCGCGUAGGCGGAUUGGAAAGUUGGGGGUGAAAUCCCGGGGCUCAACCCCGGAACUGCCUCCAAAACUAUCAGUCUAGAGUUCGAGAGAGGUGAGUGGAAUUCCAAGUGUAGAGGUGAAAUUCGUAGAUAUUUGGAGGAACACCAGUGGCGAAGGCGGCUCACUGGCUCGAUACUGACGCUGAGGUGCGAAAGUGUGGGGAGCAAACAGGAUUAGAUACCCUGGUAGUCCACACCGUAAACGAUGAAUGCCAGUCGUCGGGCAGUAUACUGUUCGGUGACACACCUAACGGAUUAAGC